UUUUUGAUUCAGACAAAUUUAUUAAAACAAUGUAGUAGGUUAGAUUUUGACGUUUUUGUUUUUCAUAAUAAAAAUGUAGUUAUCACUUCAUUCGUAAAAUCUGUAGAUGUCUUCCAAAAAAAGUACUUCCAAGAACAAGAAUCCAAGUAUUAGAUCAGAAUCUACACGUACGUCAAUUGUCACAUCCAUCAUACGAAAACAUUAUUUUCUUACGGAAAAUGAUUGAUACUCGAGAUGAAUGAUUGAUGUAGAGAUUUCAAAAUCAAUUGAUGUCACUAUGUAUAUGAUAAGUUUUUUUUUCCAAGUGGGUGAAAUAAUAAGUUUGAUCAAGAAUGGGACAAGUAGUACAAAAACAUGGGUCACCAAUCGAUAUUGCUUUCAUGUCUAACACUUAUAUGUUGGCCAAAAAACUAAUGUCAAAUCCUUAAAUGGUGGCAAAAUGUAGGUCCACGUCAGCUUGACCCAUAUAUUUGGACAUAUAAAUAAUGAAACUCUAAGUCUACAUACAACAAAAAGUAAUAACAAAAUGAUAUUUUUUAUACAUAGAGAGAUGCAAGCAGUGUGGUCACUCACAAUCACACAAGUUGCCAGAGAAAGCCCACAAGACCAUAACCACAAGGAAAGCAACAAACAAGAUUUUAAGGAAUUAAUAAUGAUAUUAAAUACUUUAUGAUUAUUUAAGACCUGUUAUUAUAUAAACUCACAUGGACAUUUCAGAACACCUGGCUUCGAAUUUAAUUUUACCGACUUUUAUAUUUUUGAUGGACACAAAUAUUAAAAACAAAUCAAAGCGGGUUUAGUUUCUCCAUUCAUUGGACAGCAAUUUCAGGGAAGCACAUGCAACAUGUGAAAAUUUUGACUCUUAAUGGAAAAAGGCUUCUAAAAAGCUUAAUCAUAUCAACUCUUAAAUUAGAAAUUUCACUGUAGAUGAUUAUCAUUAGAUAUUAUAGUACUUAAAGCAGAAAUAUACAGCUAUCAAUGAUUUAGCAAAACCAACGGUAAAAAGUUAUAAAAUUUUAGUAAAAACCCCUGAAAUUUACCAUACCAAUCUUUUUUUUACUAUUUCGAGAAUAUAAAAUAAUUAAAUAAUUACAUACAAAACCUCGUACCAUUUAAUUCUUGGCCCUUAAUUCUAUGACUUGGUUAGAUUUUAUGGAAUUCUCUUUUUGUUGUCGACGCAAGUAAAGUCAAGUCCAAUUAUCGAAAACUAUCAAACCGGAAUUUAACUCCAAUUAUCAAUGCAUGUAAGUAAGGUCCAAUUGUCUAAAGCCAAGUAAUAAAACACUGAAUACAAGCACGAUAUUUCACCCAAAUCAACUUAAACCGAAACUUUCGGUUUAGAUUCCCAAUUUUAAUAAAACUCAACCUUUACUGACAGUAAACAUAAACAAAGCAUUUCCAAACCAAAGGCUAACUAGGUGGUGAAAAAUGUUGAGUCAAAGAAGUGGCUAAAAAAUUGAACCGGAGUAAACCGGGAGAAAGAAGAAGCGUAAACCGGUUAAAUAGGGGACGGA